AUGGACAAGGAAUGGCUUCAUAUAAGGAACCAGUAUCAGAAUGACAACAGGCAAAGCCCUUCCAGCACAGAGCUGGAGGCCGAAGGCAGAAAGCCAUGCUUUCAAAUCCAGAGGGAACUCUGUAUGCAGAGGCCAUACUUGGAGCUGAAAAGGUCUCAUGAUUAGUUUGGACUUACAACAUGAAGGAUGUGGAAGAAGCUACAGGCAAAGCCUCAGCCAGCCUACAGGGGGAUUUCUAGGAAAGAUUAAGCUAAGAAAGCUCCCCAAGAGUGAGCAGAAGCCAAUGAUGGCCCACAUCUAAAAAGGUCCAGGAUGAGGCAUGGCUAUUUGUCUGCCCAACUUUGCCUCUUGCUCAUCCGUCUCCUCUACUGCUACAUCCUUCACUGGCAUCAGAGUCUAGCUUCUCCAGGUCUGACAUAGACUGAAGACCAAAGGCUCUCCAGGAAUCUUUCAAGCCUUCAACACCUGUUGAAGCAUCCAGCUUCAUGAACUGGGGAGUCACCUCAUCUCAGCCUCUCCAGUGUAAAGACAGCCACUGUUGGACAAAGCCCUGUUGGUUGUAAGGCCUUCUAGUAAACCUCCUCCCGCUUCUGAAAUGAUAUAGUCUGUCAGUUCUGAUCCUUUAGGGCCUGCCUCAUGCCGAGUGGAUGGGGAAGAACGGUCACGUCAGACUUGUAAAUGUGGCCUACCCAUAGUGCUUUAGAGACAAGGUGCACUGCACUGAGCACACUUAGACAACAGAGGGCCCAGAAUAAAAGGAAUGCCAAGAGGGAAUGGAAGUCCCCUGCCCCUACCUCCAAAUGGAUGUAUUGACUUUUUUCUUUCUUUCUUUUUUUUAAAAAAGGAGUAAUCAGUUGACGUUGGCUCGCAGUUCAGAAGGGACAGUCUCUAUCACACCAGGGAAGACACAACAGUAAGACUGGUCUCUGCUCAUGACAUUUAGAACAUGAGGUAACUGGCCACGGCGGCUGGCAGUCAGGAUGCAGCAAAAUUUUAUCAGAAGCAGGGCUAGACUAGCUAUUUAAAAAAAAAAAAAAAAAAAAAAAAAAAAGCGCUCCACCAGCAGAGCAAGAUGCCCUAAGGGAAGAAGGCCAAGGGUAAGAAGGUGGCCCCGGCCCCCGCCGUUGUCAAGAAGCAGGAGGCCAAGAAGGUGGUCAACCCUCUGUUUGAGAAGAGGCCCAAGAACUUCGGCAUUGGGCAGGACAUCCAGUCCAAAAGAGAUCUAAUGCGCUUCGUCAAAUGGCCCCACUACAUCAGGCUGCAGCGGCAAAGAGCCAUCCUCUAUAAGCGGUUCAAAGUACCUCCUGCCAUUAACCAGUUCACCCAGGCCCUGGACAGGCAAACAGCUACUCAGCUGCCUAAGCUUGCUCACAAGUACAGACCAGAAGCAAAGCAAGAGAAGAAGCAAAGGCUACUGGCCCGUACUGAGAAGAAAGCUGCCGGCAAAGGCGACGUCCCAACUAAGAGACCACCUGUCCUCCGAGCAGGAGUCAAUACAGUCACCACCUUGGUGGAGAACAAGAAGGCUCAGCUGGUGGUGAUUGACCAUGAUGUAGACCCCAUUGAGCUGGUGGUUUUCCCGCCUGCCCUGUGUCGAAAGAUGGGAGUGCCCUACUGCAUCAUCAAGGGAAAGGCCAGGCUGGGGUGCCUGGUCCACAGGAAGACAUGCACCACUGUUGUCCUCACACAGGUUAACUCGGAAGACAAGGGUGCUCUGGUUAAGCUGGUGGAAGCUAUUGGGACCAAUUAUAAUGACAGAUAUGACGAGAUCUGUCACCACUGGGGAGGCAACGUCCUGGGUCCUAAGUCUGGGGUCGCAUCGCCAAGCUGGAAAAGCAAAGGCUAAAGAACCUGUCACUAAAUUGGGUUAAAUGUACACUAAGUUUUCUGUACAUAAAUAUAACUACAAAAUUAAAAAAAGCAGAAACAAACAACAAAACAAAAACCCCACCACCAAGAAAAAAACAGAUUAUGCUG